rnacentral:rRNA from 1 species
UGGAGGCAGCAGUGGGGAAUCUUGGACAAUGGGCGAAAGCCUGAUCCAGCCAUGCCGCGUGAGUGAAGAAGGCCUUAGGGUUGUAAAACUCUUUCGCCGGUGAAGAUAAUGACGGUAACCGGAGAAGAAGCCCCGGCUAACUUCGUGCCAGCAGCCGCGGUAAUACGAAGGGGGCUAGCGUUGUUCGGAAUUACUGGGCGUAAAGCGCACGUAGGCGGGUUUGUAAGUAGGGGGUGAAAUCCCAGGGCUCAACCCUGGAACUGCCUUCUAGACUGCAAGCCUGGAGGUCAGGAGAGGCGAGUGGAAUACCGAGUGUAGAGGUGAAAUUCGUAGAUAUUCGGUGGAACACCAGUGGCGAAGGCGACUCGCUGGACUGAUACUGACGCUGAGGUGCGAAAGCGUGGGGAGCAAACAGGAUUAGAUACCCCGGUAGUCGU